rnacentral:rRNA from 1 species
GGGAAUAUUGCACAAUGGGCGAAAGCCUGAUGCAGCAACGCCGCGUGAGUGAUGAAGGUCUUCGGAUUGUAAAGCUCUGUCUUUUGGGACGAUAAUGACGGUACCAAAGGAGGAAGCCACGGCUAACUACGUGCCAGCAGCCGCGGUAAUACGUAGGUGGCGAGCGUUGUCCGGAUUUACUGGGCGUAAAGGGUGCGUAGGCGGAUGUUUAAGUGAGAUGUGAAAUACCCGGGCUUAACUUGGGUGCUGCAUUUCAAACUGGAUAUCUAGAGUGCAGGAGAGGAGAAUGGGAUUCCUAGUGUAGCGGUGAAAUGCGUAGAGAUUAGGAAGAACACCAGUGGCGAAGGCGAUUCUCUGGACUGUAACUGACGCUGAGGCACGAAAGCGUGGGUAGCAAACAGGAUUAGAUACCCUGGUAGUCCACGCCGUAAACGAUGAGUACUAGGUGUAGGAGGUAUCGACCCCUUCUGUGCCGCAGUAAACACAUUAAGUACUCCGCCUGGGAAGUACGAUCGCAAGAUUAAAACUCUAAAGUGAA